rnacentral:lncRNA from 1 species
UAUAACCCUGCUAUUACCCUACACGAUCGAUUUGGGAUUCCGUAAUGCAUGUCGGCUCUGUUCGACUCAGUCAUUGGAAUCCUGUCUCGUGUGUACACCCGAUUGAUUUAGAAUUUCCGUAACAAAUGUCGGCUCCGCCCGAAUCAGUCAUUAGAAUUCUGUCUCGGGUUGUACGGUUAAUUUAAAUUGGGUUAUUUUACUAACACGUGUGCAUUAUUUGAAUUAAUAGAUAAUAACCAGGAGAUUCUCAGGAAGCCUUAGUAUUGUCUAAACUUACAAUGUGAGUAAUCCUCCUUUUUGCAAACUGUUUUUACAAAACCUCAAAUGUUUUAACUUAUAUUUCACAAUGAUUGAGUAUUUGUAAUUUUACAAUCAUCGUCGGUAUAUUGUGGUUUUGUAAACAAAAUUUGUUACUAUACUGUGAGUAGUAACAUGACCACAAGUCGGGUUGACAGUGCCAUGGGUGAUAAUUAAAGUAGAAAUAUAAACAAAUGUAAUUGCAAGAUCGCCCUCAAUGCUGUAAAAUGAUAAAACCCGUUUUGAUUAAAUUGGGAUUCACUCACCAGUAUUUCUUGCUGACAAAAUGUUUUAAAACGCGUUUCAGGUAACGUAAUAUGAAAGCCCAAUAGAAGUCAGCUGGAGAGCACUGAAGGCUUGGAAUAGUGGCUAUAAAAGUUACCUAAAUAAACAAGACAUUUUGUUUUCAAUAAAUAGGGUUUAUCCCUAUAAACAUGUUUGUAAUAGAAAUUUGGGUUAAUCCCAAUAUAUUUAUUUAUUAUAAAAUGAGGUGUUUUACUCUGAUACCAUAUUUCCUAACUACGGUCCUGAUGUAUUCCGCUGCCAAAUUAAUAAACACCGAUACCACCCACUCUGAGUAGCUCGCGGCCGCCCGCUCCCGUGCAGGGGUCGGGGUUGCGACAAAACACGCCCAAACACGCCCAGGGGGCGGUCGAGGGGCGAUAUCGGGCAUUAUUGGGGCUAAAUUUUGAAAAAACACGCCCCACUACGCAUGGUGUAAGGAGAAAUCCCAUAUGAGUUAAAAAAAAACUCAUGAAACCUAAUGGAUGGACACCAACAUGCCACAUGUAAUAUGUUAGAGAGUAUGUUGAGGGUAGUUUCGUAACUUAACAUGCGAUGUUGACUGUUACAACUUUUGUCUUGUCAAAACUGUUACACUUUUGUCUUGACAAAACUGUUACACUUUUGUGCUAGAUGAUGAAAUGUAAAAAAAAUCGAUUUUUUUUGUAAAACCCCCAAAGCCAAGGUCACGACAACCAUAUGCAUAACCAUUUUUUCUUUAGAAAACCCCCAAAGCAUACCCCGCGUUGCGGCAUGGAGUAAAACAGUGUCAAAUAGUACUAAUAUCGCACAACCGUCAUCGACCACCAACACUGACUCGACCUAGGAUCUGCGUGUUGCGACGAACCUGUCAAACAUGAAAAAAUAAAGGUAAAAACGUUGAACCACACAUGCACGUUGUGCCGUGUUA